UUGUACUGCUUUAUUUGAAACAUGAGCUCUUUUUAAGUACAUGGUUUUCAGUGUAUUGUUUUAUGCAGAUUACAGGUUAAUUUACAACUCAGCUGUUAGCCUCUAUUGUUAGUUUUUUUAUUGACAUGAAGUGAUAGUGCUGGGGACUUGCUAGUGUGUCUGGUAAGGCUUAAUUAAUUAUUGAUGGACCUAGCAUUAUUCAAACUGGGUGUUCUUCACAAAGUUUACAAAUGUAUUAAAUAGUCGAGAAGUGAAACAACAAGAAAAAAGUUCUAGAAUGAAAUUUUCACUCUACAGCGGAGUGGGUGCUGAUAUGAAACUUCCUGGCAGAUUAAAACUGUGUGCCAGACCGAGAGUCGAACUCGGGACCUUUCCCUUUCGCGGGCAAGUGCUCGCAGGAGAGCUUCUGUAAAGUUUGGAAGAUAGGAGGCGAGGUACUGGCAGAAGUAAAGCCGUGAGGAGGGGCUGUGAGUCCUGCUUGGUUAGCUCAGUUGGUAGAGCACUUGCUCGUGAAAGGCAAAGGUCCCGAGUUCGAGUCUCGGUACGUCACACAGUUUUAAUCUGCCAGGAAGUUUCAGGAAAAGAGUUAUCCAAAAGUUUCAAAAUGUUGAUGUUUAUUUGCUAAUUUAGUAUCUACAUUGGCAUGACAACACUGCUAUACUAUACUUUCAGUGUAGGUGUUUCACUGGCCAUAGGUGGCUUCAUAACAGCCAUGGAACGGAACCCUGUGAGGGAAAAGAAAAUUCGACAUGGGAAUCGGUCUACAGGAAGCAGAAAUACAUGAAAUGUUUUCACAGUUGUGAAUAUGAAAAACAGUCAGCUAUAUAAGGGAAUGACAACAAUGAAAAUUUGUGCCAGACUGGGACUCAAACCCAGUUUCUCCACUUUACGCAAGCUGUUGCCUUAAGCAGUUUGGCUAUCCACGCACGACUCACAGGCAGACCCAAACUUCCAUAUGUCAUCAUUCCUUCGUCACAACCCUUAAUCUGUGGUUUCCUAGCUGCGGGAGUUUCCCACGGCGUGCUGCGUAAAAUGCAUGCGAGACCCCACUGCCCACUCACACAUUGCAAACGUACGGGACCGUUUUCCUAGGGUGGGGACAACGCAGUGCCCCAGUGGGCUCCGCCUGCAAGAAACACUAUGCUUCGGGAGGAGCCCAUCCCACACGUUGCAAUGAUUUACUUGGCCGGAGGAGUGGGUGUUGUCAAACUGGGCAGCAGCGAGACGACAGCUGCACUGUUUGUUUCGCGUGCACAGGUAACAACAGACAAUUUUUAAGAGAACUGUUAUAGAAACAAUCACCAAAAAUGUUGGCUGACCGCUUCUCUGCCUCAGAGGAUAAGCAACUUAUUGAACUGGAUUCUAAAAAGCAAAUUUUUGGAAUAUGGCCAACACCGAGUGGAAAAAUCAAAUGAAAAAGGAUUUAAUUUGGGCAAAAAUCGGAAGAAAAAUGAGUAAAUCGAGUGUGAAGUGCAAAAGGUGAUGGAGAAACAUCUGAGAUCAUUUUAGGAGAUACAGAAACUAGAAAGGUCUGCGACAAGUGGCUCAGUAACCACGAAGAAAAGAGCUGUGUACCGGGACAGGCUUCAAUUCCUUAAUAGCGUGGAGGUUGAAAGGAAAAUGUUUUCCUAACAGUGUGCAACAGGAACUCGUUAGGGAAAGACUUGAAGAUCGACAGACUUCUUCCAAAUUUAUCGACUGAGGACGAAACUGGUUUGUUCCUCAAAUCCAUGGCAGCAACAGUAAAAAAAUUUAGACCCAACCUUAUUUGCAAAGCCAAAAAACAGAUUUGAAAUACUGUGAUGGACAUAUAAACCAUAAAUCAGAGAGAUCAAGGAUAUGGCAACAACUCCACAUUUCGGAACGCAAACAGCAGCCAUCCUGCUUCUAUCCAAAGUGCUGACAGUGAGCAAGGACCUAGGAACUAUGACAAUACUGUCACUGCUGCAAACUUUGAUACCUAUAAAACAUCGCAAAUCCAGUACCACACCAGAACGACUACAGUAUUGCACAAUCAAACAUUCUCUGCCACCACCCUCUAUUUUCUGGGAUGGUUACUAAGGGUAGGCCAUGGCCAGUAGCCAAGUUCAUUAUAUUAUAUUUUACCAUUUGUGCCAAAUUAAUGUGUCUGGUUACAUUAACGUUAUGGAACUGUCAGUAGUAGUAUCAUAGAUACACUUUAAGAAAAUGAAAUGAGUUGCACUCCACUGUGAAAACCCACUGUCAUAAAAUGUUUUUUUGGAGUAGAUGACAAUUGUAUGUUGUGUGUUGGAGUAAUUGUUGUAACAAAUGUGAUUUUUUUAAUAUGACAUGUUAAA